CCUACGGGUGGCUGCAGUGGGGAAUAUUGCACAAUGGGCGCAAGCCUGAUGCAGCAACGCCGCGUGAGGGAUGACGGCCUUCGGGUUGUAAACCUCUUUUAGUAGGGAAGAAGCGAAAGUGACGGUACCUGCAGAAAAAGCACCGGCUAACUACGUGCCAGCAGCCGCGGUAAUACGUAGGGUGCAAGCGUUGUCCGGAAUUAUUGGGCGUAAAGAGCUCGUAGGCGGCUUGUCGCGUCUGCUGUGAAAUCCCGGAGCUCAACUCCGGGCCUGCAGUGGGUACGGGCAGGCUAGAGUGCGGUAGGGGAGAUUGGAAUUCCUGGUGUAGCGGUGGAAUGCGCAGAUAUCAGGAGGAACACCGAUGGCGAAGGCAGAUCUCUGGGCCGUAACUGACGCUGAGGAGCGAAAGCAUGGGGAGCGAACAGGAUUAGAUACCCUGGUAGUC
rnacentral:rRNA from 1 species